UCUGGCCUUCCGAGAAGGUACCACCAAUGCCCACGACGUGGAGACACAGUUCAAUCAGCAUAAAACGGAAGCAGCCUCUCGAUAUAACCUGACGAUCUCAGACAUCAGAGUGAGUGAUGUGCCAUUUCCUUUCUCUGCCCAGUCUGGGGCUGGGGUGCCAGGCUGGGGCAUCGCGCUGCUGGUGCUGGUCUGUGUUCUGGUUGCGCUGGCCGUCGUCUAUCUCAUUGCCUUGGUGAGUGCAGUCUCUGGCCCUGAACAGAGCCCCCCGUUAGAAGGCACUCCAUGGCCUGCCAUAACUUCCUAUCUCCCCAGGCUGUCUGUCAGUGCCGCCGAAAGAACUACGGGCAGCUGGACAUCUUUCCAGCCCGGGAUGCCUACCAUCCUAUGAGCGAGUACCCCACCUACCACACCCAUGGGCGCUAUGUGCCCCCUAGCAGUACCAAUCAUAGCCCCUAUGAGAAGGUGAGAUUGGGCCCCACAGGCCAGGGGAAGCAGAGGCUUUGGCUGGGCAAGGGUUCUGAAGGGGGUACUUGGAAAACCCAAAGAGCUUGGAAGAGGUGAGAAGUGGCGUGAAGUGAGCAGGGGAGGGCCUGGCAAGGAUGGGGGGCAGAGGUCAGAGGAGUUCUGGGGGACAGGCCCGGGAGGAGACUAUGGAAGAAAGGGGCCCUCAAGAGGGAGUGGCCCCACUGCCAGAAUUCCUAAAAGAUCAUUGGCCGUCCACAUUCAUGCUGGCCGGCGCUGGCUGAACUGGUGCCACCGUGGCGGUUUUGUUUUGUUUUGUUUUUUUGCACCCAGAGGCAAAAUGGGUGGAGCACUAUGCCCAGGGGAGCCCUUCCAGAGGAGUCACAGGGGUGAGCCCCUGUGCCCCUAAUCAUCUCCUCGGAAUGGAGGGUAGACCAAGAAACGCUGGCAUAGGGGGAGGUUUCCCAGGUAGAGGAAGAAGUAUCAGCAGACCAGGUGAGCCUGGGUGCCAGUGCAG
rnacentral:sRNA from 1 species